rfam:Camelus ferus unplaced genomic scaffold scaffold955, whole genome shotgun sequence.
GAGGGUACAGCUCAAGUGGUAGAGCACAUGCUUAACGUGCACAAGGUCCUGGGUUCAAUCCCCGGUACCGCCU